CUCCGGUUGAUCCUGCCGGAGGUUACUGCUAUCGGUGUUCGCCUAAGCCAUGCGAGUCAUAUGUAGCAAUACAUGGCGUACUGCUCAGUAACACGUGGAUAACCUGCCCCUGGGUCCGGCAUAACCCCGGGAAACUGGGGAUAAUUCCGGAUAACGCACAUAUGCUGGAAUGCUUUAUGCGUCAAAUGGAUUCGUCUGCCCAAGGAUGGGUCUGCGGCCUAUCAGGUAGUAGUGGGUGUAAUGUACCUACUAGCCGACAACGGGUACGGGUUGUGAGAGCAAGAGCCCGGAGAUGGAUUCUGAGACAUGAAUCCAGGCCCUACGGGGCGCAGCAGGCGCGAAAACUUUACAAUGCGGGAAACCGUGAUAAGGGGACACCGAGUGUCAGCAUCAUAUGCUGGCUGUCCAGGUGUGUAAAAUACACCUGUUAGCAAGGGCCGGGCAAGACCGGUGCCAGCCGCCGCGGUAACACCGGCGGCCCGAGUGGUGAUCGUGAUUAUUGGGUCUAAAGGGUCCGUAGCCGGUUUGGUCAGUCCUCCGGGAAAUCUGAUAGCUCAACUAUUAGGCUAUCGGGGGAUACUGCCAGGCUUGGAACCGGGAGAGGUAAGAGGUACUACAGGGGUAGGAGUGAAAUCUUGUAAUCCCUGUGGGACCACCUGUGGCGAAGGCGUCUUACCAGAACGGGUUCGACGGUGAGGGACGAAAGCUGGGGGCACGAACCGGAUUAGAUACCCGGGUAGUYCCAGCCGUAAACGAUGCUCGCUAKGUGUCAGCMUGGCSCGACCGUGUUCUGG
rnacentral:rRNA from 1 species